GAGUUUGAUCCUGGCUCAGAUUGAACGCUGGCGGCAUGCCUUACACAUGCAAGUCGAACGGCAGCACGGGGGCAACCCUGGUGGCGAGUGGCGAACGGGUGAGUAAUACAUCGGAACGUGUCCUGUAGUGGGGGAUAGCCCGGCGAAAGCCGGAUUAAUACCGCAUACGCUCUACGGAGGAAAGGGGGGGAUCUUAGGACCUCCCGCUACAGGGGCGGCCGAUGGCAGAUUAGCUAGUUGGUGGGGUAAAGGCCUACCAAGGCGACGAUCUGUAGCUGGUCUGAGAGGACGACCAGCCACACUGGGACUGAGACACGGCCCAGACUCCUACGGGAGGCAGCAGUGGGGAAUUUUGGACAAUGGGGGCAACCCUGAUCCAGCAAUGCCGCGUGUGUGAAGAAGGCCUUCGGGUUGUAAAGCACUUUUGUCCGGAAAGAAAACGCCGUGGUUUAUACCCGUGGCGGAUGACGGUACCGGAAGAAUAA
rnacentral:rRNA from 1 species